CCUUUUUUGUAGUCUGAAAUAAAACUAAAAUAAUAAUAAAAAUGACUACAGUUUCCUAGUAGGACCAAAAAAAGUAUAUUUGCAUAGAGAGGACACUUUGCAUUAGCAGCACAUGCUUCAGUGGUCUGGUAGUGUUUAUAUCCCUGUGAGUUUAACACUUCAUGACUGAGAGCUGUCCUUCAUGACAACAGAACCCACAACAACCAUGACUUUUAUCACCAUAUUCAUCUGGACACUUGCUUUCUGCCUCCAAGAAUCCAGAGGACAGUACACUGUGACUCAAAUUCCUACAGUGAAAGCUGUUCUCCCAGGACAGACAGUCUCUCUGAACUGUAAAACCAGCAGUAAUGUGUAUUCUAAUAAUCGCCUAGCCUGGUACCAGCAGAAACCUGGAGGAGCUCCUGAACUCCUUAUUUACCGUGCUACAACACUUCAGUCUGGGACUCCAUCUAGAUUCAGUGGCAGUGGAUCUGGGAGUGACUUCACUCUGACCAUCAGUGGAGUCCAGGCUGAAGAUGCAGGAGAUUACUACUGUCAGAGUCUCCACAGUGGUCCAGUGUUAACACAGUGAUACAGAGCCGUACAA